UACGAAGGGGGGCUAGCGUUGCUCGGAAUUACUGGGCGUAAAGGGCGCGUAGGCGGGUGUUUAAGUCAGAGGUUAAAUCCCAGAGCUCAACUCUGGAACCGCCUUUGAUACUGGACGCCUAGAGUGUGGGAGAGGUGAGUGGAACGCCGAGUGUAGAGGUGAAAUUCGUAGAUAUUCGGCAGAACACCAGUGGCGAAGGCGACUCACUGGCCCAUUACUGACGCUGAUGCGCGAAAGCGUGGGGAGCAAA
rnacentral:rRNA from 1 species